UCAGAUAGGACAGCUCUGCAAACUGGGGUUUGAGGCCACAAGGAGGUCAAAGCUGAGCCUUGCCACACCAAAAGGAAACGACAGAGGGAUUGGACUUCCACAAUGAUCAGAUAAGAAAGCAGAUGACCCUUCUAUGAGAAAAUUGGGAUUAGUCCUUCCCUGGGAGACAGCGAGCAUGUCGAGGGAGGCCUCGCCAGCAAGCAAGCUGUUAGGAGCAAACAAGAAAACACAUGACACAUUAACUGAAGUCAUUGGCAAGAGUGGAAUCCAGUCUUAAAAGGGAACAAAAAGAACGAUAGGAAUAGAAGAAAUGGAAGUCCUUGACUCCAUCUAGAUUGCUUCUUUUUGUGACAGAAAAAAAAAUCUGUUUAUGCUUCCUCCUAAUUUUAAACCAAUUUUUAAUACAUGCAACUAAAUAAAGAUUCUUUCACACUUCUAUGUGAUAUGACU
rnacentral:lncRNA from 1 species